GCGGCGAAAGGGUGAGUAACACGUAACCAACGUACCCCUCAGAUCGGGAUAACCACUGGAAACGGUGGAUAAUACUGAAUGGUCCUAGGAGGGACAUCCUUCCGAAGGUAAACGGCGGCUUCGGCUGCUGUUGAGGGAGCGGGUUGCGUCCUAUCAGCUUGUUGGUGAGGUAACGGCUCACCAAGGCUAUGACGGGUAGCGGGUCUGAGAGGAUGAUCCGCCACACUGGGACUGAGACACUGCCCAGACUCCUACGGGAGGCUGCAGUCGAGAAUCUUCCACAAUGGGCGAAAGCCUGAUGGAGCGACGCUGCGUGUAGGAUGAAGGCCUUAGGGUUGUAAACUACUGUCACGCUAUAGGAACCCGUGUAGGUUAAUAGCCUGCGCGCUGACCAAAGCGAGAGGAAGUGCCGGCUAACUCCGUGCCAGCAGCCGCGGUAAGACGGAGGGCGCAAGCGUUGUUCGGAAUCACUGGGCAUAAAGGGCGCGUAGGCGGCCAGUUCAGUCGGAUGUGAAAUCCCCCGGCCCAACCGGGGAACUGCAUUCGAUACUGACUGGCUAGAGGAUGGUAGGAGCCAAUGGAACUCCAGGUGGAACGGUGAAAUGUGUAGAUAUCUGGAGGAACACCAGUGGCGAAAGCGAUUGGCUGGGCCAUUUCUGACGCUGAGGCGCGAAAGCUAGGGGAGCGAACGGGAUUAGAUACCCCGGUAGUCCUAGCCGUAAACGAUGGGUACUGGG
rnacentral:rRNA from 1 species